CAGUCGUACGCUUCUUUUUCCCCGGAGCUUGCUCCACCGGAAAAAGAAGAGUGGCGAACGGGUGAGUAACACGUGGGUAACCUGCCCAUCAGAAGGGGAUAACACUUGGAAACAGGUGCUAAUACCGUAUAACAAUCGAAACCGCAUGGUUUUGAUUUGAAAGGCGCUUUCGGGUGUCGCUGAUGGAUGGACCCGCGGUGCAUUAGCUAGUUGGUGAGGUAACGGCUCACCAAGGCCACGAUGCAUAGCCGACCUGAGAGGGUGAUCGGCCACAUUGGGACUGAGACACGGCCCAAACUCCUACGGGAGGCAGCAGUAGGGAAUCUUCGGCAAUGGACGAAAGUCUGACCGAGCAACGCCGCGUGAGUGAAGAAGGUUUUCGGAUCGUAAAACUCUGUUGUUAGAGAAGAACAAGGAUGAGAGUAACUGUUCAUCCCUUGACGGUAUCUAACCAGAAAGCCACGGCUAACUACGUGCCAGCAGCCGCGGUAAUACGUAGGUGGCAAGCGUUGUCCGGAUUUAUUGGGCGUAAAGCGAGCGCAGGCGGUUUCUUAAGUCUGAUGUGAAAGCCCCCGGCUCAACCGGGGAGGGUCAUUGGAAACUGGGAGACUUGAGUGCAGAAGAGGAGAGUGGAAUUCCAUGUGUAGCGGUGAAAUGCGUAGAUAUAUGGAGGAACACCAGUGGCGAAGGCGGCUCUCUGGUCUGUAACUGACGCUGAGGCUCGAAAGCGUGGGGAGCAAACAGGAUUAGAUACCCUGGUAGUCCACGCCGUAAACGAUGAGUGCUAAGUGUUGGAGGGUUUCCGCCCUUCAGUGCUGCAGCUAACGCAUUAAGCACUCCGCCUGGGGAGUACGACCGCAAGGUUGAAACUCAAAGGAAUUGACGGGGGCCCGCACAAGCGGUGGAGCAUGUGGUUUAAUUCGAAGCAACGCGAAGAACCUUACCAGGUCUUGACAUCCUUUGACCACUCUAGAGAUAGAGCUUCCCCUUCGGGGGCAAAGUGACAGGUGGUGCAUGGUUGUCGUCAGCUCGUGUCGUGAGAUGUUGGGUUAAGUCCCGCAACGAGCGCAACCCUUAUUGUUAGUUGCCAUCAUUCAGUUGGGCACUCUAGCAAGACUGCCGGUGACAAACCGGAGGAAGGUGGGGAUGACGUCAAAUCAUCAUGCCCCUUAUGACCUGGGCUACACACGUGCUACAAUGGGAAGUACAACGAGUCGCGAAGUCGCGAGGCUAAGCUAAUCUCUUAAAGCUUCUCUCAGUUCGGAUUGUAGGCUGCAACUCGCCUACAUGAAGCCGGAAUCGCUAGUAAUCGCGGAUCAGCACGCCGCGGUGAAUACGUUCCCGGGCCUUGUACACA
rnacentral:rRNA from 1 species